AUUGAACGCUGGCGGCAGGCCUAACACAUGCAAGUCGAGCGAGCGGCGGCCGGGUGAGUAAUGUCUGGGAAACUGCCAGAUGGAGGGGGAUAACUACUGGAAACGGUAGCUAAUACCGCAUACCAUCAGAUGUGCCCAUAUGGGAUUAGCUAGUAGGUGGGGUAACGGCUCACCUAGGCGACGAUCCCGAGCUGGUCUGAGAGGAUGACCAGCCAAACUGGAACUGAGACACGGUCCAUACUCCAACGGGAGGCAGCAGUGGGGAAUAUUGCACAAUGGGCGCAAGCCUGAUGCAGCCAUGCCGCGUGUGUGAAGAAGGCCUUCGGGUUGUAAAGCACUUUCAGCGGGGAGGCGUUACCCGCAGAAGAAGCACCGGCUAACUCCGUGCCAGCAGCCGCGGUAAUUC
rnacentral:rRNA from 1 species